GCAGGUGAAUGCAACGUCAAGCGAUGGGCGUUGCGCUCCAUAAUUGUCUUACUUCAUUUUUAGAAUUAAUGCAUAGCACAUUUAAUUCGUACGACGCCGGCUCCGAGCCGGCUUUU
rnacentral:sRNA from 1 species